CAGCCGCCGCGGGAAUACGAAGGGGGCUAGCGUUGUUCGGAUUUACUGGGCGUAAAGGGCGCGUAGGCGGACUGAUAAGUCAGGGGUGAAAUCCCAAGGCUCAACCUUGGAACUGCCUUUGAUACUGUUUGUCUUGAGUUCGAGAGAGGUAAGUGGAACUGCGAGUGUAGAGGUGAAAUUCGUAGAUAUUCGCAAGAACACCAGUGGCGAAGGCGGCUUACUGGCUCGAAACUGACGCUGAGGCGCGAAAGCGUGGGGAGCAAACAGGAUUAGAUACCCCCGUAGUCCCUGUCUCUUAUAU
rnacentral:rRNA from 1 species